rnacentral:tRNA from 1 species
GUCCCUGUAGCGCAAUGGAUAGCGAGUUGGACUUCUAAUCCAAAUGUCGUGAGUUCGAAUCCCACCUGGGAUG